rnacentral:rRNA from 1 species
UACGUAGGUGGCAAGCGUUGUCCGGAUUUAUUGGGUUUAAAGGGUGCGUAGGCGGCCUUGUAAGUCAGUGCUGAAAUAUCCCGGCUUAACCGGGAGGGUGGCAUUGAUACUGCAGGGCUUGAGUAAAGUUGAGGUUGGCGGAAUUGACGGUGUAGCGGUGAAAUGCUUAGAGAUAUGGAGGAACACCAGUGGCGAAGGCGACUUUCUGGUCUGUAACUGACACUUGAGGCGCGAAAGCGUGGGGAGCAAACAGG